CUAGAGUCAGCGUAAUCAAACAUGGAUUACGAAAUGGAUUGAUGAAGCAGAGUCCGAUGGAGUACGCGAAAAUAGACGGUACAACGGUGAGAUACUGCCAACGUAUAAUGAAUGGUAUCGCGCUAGCACACGGACUCUCCUCACCGGUCCCCCACCAUCGAGUCCGACACACCUCACAUGGGCCUCAGCUUACCACCGUGACACUUCGGUUGACGAGUUCAGGCAGAUCGCACAGGACGCCCAGGACACUUUGAACUUGCGCAACAUGGAUAGUACGGAGGGAAAAUCCAUGGUAAAACGUAUUUUUAAUACUGCCAUUAAAGGGCUUAGGCGUCUUGGUUGCAGCCGCCAUGAUGAUGUUGUCAGUCGAGCAUUCGACAUGCCGGAGGCACCGUCGAACAGACCGAGUAUGGUACGUAUGAGCCAGCCAUCCGCCACACCGACCGUACCAGUUUCCUCUACCUCGCAUACAUCUAAUCCACGACACGACUCAUCUCUACUUGAACGAUCACAGUCCGCACACAUAUCUCAACGCCAUGGCGCCA